UUGCUCAGUCCUUGGUCUUCUUGCCCUAUUAAGUAUCUCGUUCAGUGAUUGCGUGUCAUGGCUCUAAAUGCCCCCUGUAUGCUGAUGACCCAUAGAUCUUUACUGUCCUCCCUCAACCCUUCUCUACCUUCUCUUCAUCUCCAUUUGAUUGGGCAUCUCGAAUUCAACAUAUCCAGAAUCAUACCACUGAUUUCAUAUCCCUUCUCAUACCAACAUCAUACUCCCCACACAGUCUGCUCCCAACCUCACCCAGCCCCCACUCUACUUCUCUCUGUCUUUCCUAAUACCUUGUAUUUCCUGAAUAUUCCUUCUCUCCUUCCCCCACUCCCCUCCUCCCUCACCCCCAACAUGAAGAUGGCUCUUUAAUCCCCUACCUAUGUAAAGCUAUCCUGGCAUUUGUUUGAAAGGUGGUUAAGAUUCAAGGGAGCUGUCAUUGAAAAAAAAAAAAAAAACUUUCAGGGCACUGAAAACUCUUUUAGCAUUUGGAACAUCUCCUCCACCUAGCCUCAUUUUUCUCUAGUAAAUUGUUAGCACCCCUGGGGACUUAUGUUAAGAGUGCCCAGGACACUGGGACAGGGCUGGGCCAAAGGCAGGAGCUCGCGAAGCACAAGUGAACUGAUUGUUGCCUGUGUGCAGAUAUUUCUUGCAAUGCCCACGCAGAGGGAAAGCUGAUAUGCCAACUCUCUCCCACGUCAGCUAGGAAGACGUGGGUUUGGUUUAACAGUUCAUUAAACAUAUUUUGAGUAGCACCAUUGGCCAGGGCCAGGCAAUGUAAAUUAACCUGAACCCUUGAGGCAAUGGCUCAAGAAAACAUAUUCCCUAUGUCCCAAUCCCUCAGUCCCGGUACAUUGGGAGCCACAGUGGAAUGGUGAGGCACAGGACAUCCUGAGCCUGGGGCUGAGAAAGAAGCCAGUCAAGGCUGUUGUAUUUGGACACUCUCCUUGAGUCCUGACUACAAAGACAAUGAGAAAACCCCCAGACUUGGAUUCCUGAAAAGUCACUUCUCCUCUGGCUAAAGAUGGCCACAUGUUUUCACCCUCCUCUUCUCAGCAGGCUCCUUCCACAGUUUGGCUAUUGUGGACAUUUCUGCUGGAAACAUCGUCUACUCCCUAGCAUUUUGACUUUGGCAAAUCACUCAAGCUUUCUUAACCUCCAUUUCCAAACCUGUGAAAUGGGUAGAAAGAUGCCUCAAGAAGAAAACAGUCCAGGGUCAAUGUCUCAGGAAUUUUUCUCCAAGGCCUCCAUCAGAAUUAACUGAGGAACCACCUUGGUCCUCCAGAACCAGAAGACAUGUGAGAUCCAAGCAGCAUGACCUACCCUGCUCCUCACGUCCAAGGGCUUCUGUGACCAGGGCAUAGCUAUUGGAAGAGUCUCCAGGAGAAUGAGGAACACCUGCCUCUUGGCUGCAACUACUCACUAGAGCCACAGAAGGAGGGCAGAGCCAGUCAUCUAUGGGCCCCCCAAGCUUUGGAAAAGGACUCACCUGACAUUUCUAUAUCCAUAUGUGGGGUAGGGGGGCAGUCUUAGAAAAGAUGAUUGCUUGCUGCUUAAAAGAUUGUAUUAGCUCAGAGAAGAGCAAAGGGACAAUGAAAAGCCCCUGAGAUUCAAUAUUGAUAUUUUUAUUCCUCCUAGAUGUUUAGUAUUUGAAUCCUUUGAAUUCCUGUCAUUCUAUAGUAUAAAAUUAACCUAGAGGAUUUUUUUUGUCUUCAUUAAAGAUGGUUCUUUUUCUCCUUAGAAGAUAGCAAUAAUAAUGACUAGAGGGGUGCCUGGGGGGCUCCAUUGGUUAAACAUCUGCCUCAGGUCAUGAUCCUGGGGUCCUGGGAUCAAGCCCCGAGUUGGGAUCCCUGCUCAGUGGGGCUCGUCCUUCUCCCUCUCUC